rnacentral:rRNA from 1 species
GGGUGAAAGCCUGGGGUGCCCCGGCGAGGGGAGCCCUAGCACAGGUGCUGCAUGGCCGUCGUCAGCUCGUGCCGUGAGGUGUUGGGUUAAGUCCCGCAACGAGCGCAACCCCGCCGUUAGUUGCCAGCGGUUCGGCCGGGCACUCUAACGGGACUGCCCGGCGAAAAGCGGGGAGGAAGGAGGGGACGACGUCUGGUCAGCAUGGCCCUUACGGCCUGGGCGACACACGUGCUACAAUGCCCACUACAAAGGCGAGGCCACCCGGCAACGGGGAGCUAAUCGCAAAAGGUGGCCAGUUCGGAUUGGGUCUGCAACCGACCCAUGAAGCCGGAAUCGCUAGUAAUCGCGGAUCAGCCAUGCCGCGGUGAAUACGUUCCCGGGCCUU